AACGAACGCUGGCGGCAUGCCUAACACAUGCAAGUCGAACGAGACCUUCGGGUCUAGUGGCGCACGGGUGCGUAACGCGUGGGAACCUGCCUUUAGGUUCGGAAUAACUCAGAGAAAUUUGAGCUAAUACCGGAUGAUGUCUUCGGACCAAAGAUUUAUCGCCUUUAGAUGGGCCCGCGUUGGAUUAGCUAGUUGGUGGGGUAAAGGCCUACCAAGGCGACGAUCCAUAGCUGGUCUGAGAGGAUGAUCAGCCACACUGGGACUGAGGCACGGCCCAGACUCCUACGGGAGGCAGCAGUGGGGAAUAUUGGACAAUGGGCGAAAGCCUGAUCCAGCAAUGCCGCGUGAGUGAUGAAGGCCUUAGGGUUGUAAAGCUCUUUUACCCGAGAUGAUAAUGACAGUAUCGGGAGAAUAAGCUCCGGCUAACUCCGCG
rnacentral:rRNA from 1 species